rnacentral:rRNA from 1 species
CCUACGGGUGGCUGCAGUGAGGAAUAUUGGUCAAUGGGCGUAAGCCUGAACCAGCCAAGUCGCGUGAGGGAUGAAGGUUCUAUGGAUCGUAAACCUCUUUUAUAAGGGAAUAAAGUGCGGGACGUGUCCCGUUUUGUAUGUACCUUAUGAAUAAGGAUCGGCUAACUCCGUGCCAGCAGCCGCGGUAAUACGGAGGAUCCGAGCGUUAUCCGGAUUUAUUGGGUUUAAAGGGUGCGUAGGCGGCCUUUUAAGUCAGCGGUGAAAGUCGGUGGCUCAACCAUAGAAUUGCCGUUGAAACUGGGAGGAUUGAGUUUGUUAGAGGAAGGCGGAAUGCGUGGUGUAGCGGUGAAAUGCGUAGAGAGCACGCAGAACCCCGAUGGCGAAGGCGGCCUGC